GAGGGGCCCGCCCUGCAUCGGCCCAACCUCUUGAUGGGAUGGAGAAUAAAUUCUGGAACCUUCUUUCUUCCCUCUCUCCAGACUCCUGCCUGCAUCUCUCAUUGGCAGGAAGCCAGAGACCAAGGGAAGGAUUAUUCUUGAAUCAACCUCCUCGGUCCCAUCCUUAGGAGUCGGCCUCCUGGGGCCCAGAGAAUGUGACCAGGCAGAAUAACCAGCAGAGGACAUGAAAACACAGACAGGAGAUUAGCUGGCCAAGAGACCAGCAUGGCCUUCCGGGGGCAGCUAUGGCAUCGUCUCUCACGCAGAUCUCCCUUAGCGGCUUCUGACUUCAAGCGUUCGCGUCGAAGACCUGGAAAGAAGACAGUACAGAGGCAGACUCAUCAAGCUGGGAAAUAUUUAUAUCCCCCCAACUGACCAACAGAGCAGUGGCGGCCCCAGGAUUUGUGGUCCCUUCCAGGGAGCAGAGUUACAAGCCAAAGGCCUGUCUUCCUAUUCCAAGUCAUUCAUGGGAAUAUCCCUUUUUGUAUAAUACCAACCAGGGGACCAAAGGAUGGCUCUUGACUGUCAGAAGCCCGUACAUAUCGGCACGGGGUGGUGGAAGGCACUUGGGGUCUGGCGUCCCAAGGUCUUGGCUGGCUUUGCC
rnacentral:lncRNA from 1 species